rnacentral:lncRNA from 1 species
CAGACAUCACUCUUUAGAAUCCCUGCAACUUUGAGCAAGUUCGUGAAUCUCACUAAGGCUCAGUUUCCUCCAUAAAAUUAAUCAAUAUCAGGGCCUCUGCAUUGGACAACUCCAGAGGGCACCAUUGGGGUUAUACCUUGUGUUUGCCUAACCUUCAUUGCAGUGGGCAGGUGCAUGCUUUCUACAAUGUCCUAAGGUCUAAAGGGGUAGAGUUCUGUGUGUGGCAUUUUAGGCCUGGAAAGGAUGAGAGUCUACAAAACCAGAGAAAUACUGCAGAGCUCCUAAAGUCCUUGGAAUGUCCUAAGUGCAAAUGGUCAAACCCAGGAGGGAAUGGUAUGAACCUCUGGUUUACAGCCAUUGGUAAGAAGCACACAUGACAACCUGGACUUUCCAUCAACAUUUGAAGCGGGAGCAGUCUUGUGGGAUCAAGCUCUUAACCUGUGGGGUCUGCUACUAACUCUGAAUCCAAUGAACACAUGGACCCAACACUCCUUUGGCCAAGUUGAUGAUUCUCCACCAUUUAUUUGCCUGCCUCACUAUACACUUCUAGCAAGCCACUGCAAGGCUGCAUUGCAGCUAAGAGGAAGCCCUCCUUGAAGGCUGCACAGCAAGGAGUGUUGGCAGAGUAGCUGGGUUUCCACUGGGAGAGCACGAGUCAGCAUCAUGCUGGGCUCAAGCAUGGAUAUGCACUGCUGCUGCCAGAGCAUCAUAAUUUGCAAGCAUUUAUCGAGUACCCUUCAUCUAAUUUUCAUCCUGCGGAAACUAGAAAUUGCUACACUUGCACACAAUAAACUUCUGGCAGUUAGCCUUCUAAACUGGGACACUACCAUUUGGGAGGGAAAAGACCUUUCUGGUGGUUAAAGAUGGGGCUUCCAGUUACUGCAUUUGUUUUAAUACAGUCUAUUCCAUAGAGCCAUCGAUGGAGACUCAUUAUAUAACCUUUCGUGGAAAGCUUCUGACUUCUUUCUCAAUGCACAGGUGGGAUGUAAAGGGACAUCCCCAUCAUAAGGCACUUGCCCCAGGCUAGGAACUUAAUUCUCCCACUGUCGACAUGUGGCUCUUUAGAUUUCAUGCUGUAAGUCUCCAGAGGUUUCUCAGGUCUUGCCCUGCAGAAGCAGAAGUCAUGGGAAGGAGCUGUCGCGUAGUUCUUUUUUUUUGGAGCUUGGGUGCUGAAGAUCAGUUCCUCCAACUUUUUGGUUUUUUAAUGUUUCACUCCAACUGCAAAUUUCACCCCAUUUCUAGUGUACUCUCCUUGAGAGAAGUGGAGUUUCAGAUGGGAGCAACUUCACUUGAAGCCCAUAUUAAAUAUGGGAAACACAUUUUCUGCAUCAUAAGAUGGGGACAUUUUUAUGAUACCAGUACUCUUAGGAAGUGGACUGUUCAGAAAAAUGAUUUGGAUUGAAGAGGGCACACAUAUAGGUGGAAGAGUUGGUUGUGAAACAAGGGGAAGAAUUAACUGGUUUCUCCACUGAAGGAGGGAGGAAAAAAAUAAAAGGAAAGAAUAUGGGUAUAUCCAGCAAGACAGACAAAUGUAUGCUCUCCAAGCACUCUCUCUCUCACCUAUCCCAGUUCUUUCAUGUUACAAAAUUCACAAAAUGGCUGUGUGUACAUGAAUUUUGGUGGAAACAGUGAAGAAACUGAGCUUCAUGCUGACAUUGACACAGAGUAGGACAGCUCUAAGGUAGCCUAUGUGAAUGAGCAAUGGAGAAAGAGGGAAAAACAUAAGGAGUUAACCCCAAAAAAUUGGCCAUGGGUGGUGGCUCAUGCCUGUAAUCCCAGCACUUUGGGAGGCCAAGGAGGGUGAAUCACUUGAGGUCAGGACUUCAAAACCAGCCUGGCUAACAUGGUAAAACUCCUGUCUCUACUAAAAUACAAAGAUUAGCUGGGCAUGGUGAUGGGUGCCUGUAAUCCCAGCUACUAGGGAGGCUGGGGAAGGAGAAUUGCUUGAACCCAAGAAGCGGAAGUUGCAGUGAGCCAAGAUCGCGCCACUGCACUCCAGCUUGGAUGACAGAGUGAGACUCCAUCUCAAACAAACAAACAAACAAACAAAAAACCUCCCCCAAAUUAUGGAGAGGGCUCCAGACUUUCUCAAGAUUGUGCAGUUAGCUGUUGUUUAAAGUUAACUAAAUCCCGAUCUGAUGUUUAUUCUCUUAUUUUUAGCUAUUGUUUAAAGUUAACUAAAUCCCGAUCUGAUGUUUAUUCUCUUAUUUUUAUUUUUAAUUUAAUAAGUGCUUCACGUGACUUUUGAGUUAUAGCUGACUGCCCUAGCUCACAUUUUAGUGCCAGAAGAUCCCAGACCACCACCCAUGAUCCCAGGCUGGAGGAAGCAGCAGGCUAGCGGAAUUCAGGACCAAUGAGCCAGGAAAGAGGACCCAAUGCAGAGCUCACAUCCCACCCUCCUUCCCCCAUGACAAAGCACUGGCAAACCCUGCCAAAGAAGAAGCUUGGCUGCAAAGCAGUCUGGAACUGGACCCGGGAUAGAUUCACCAGGAGCUCACCACCACAGGGAAUGCUGCACUUUGACUGGACAGAAUGCAUCCUCCAUGCCCACAGAGCAUGUGCCCAGGAUGAAUCUCACUGUAUCCCAGUUCCUCAUGCUUGGCCCCAAACCUCUUUUUCACAGUAAUAAAGAAAACACACUUUACAAAAAGGCAGUUCAUCUAUGAACAUA